rnacentral:lncRNA from 13 species
AAUCUUUCAAUGUAGUUGGUUUCCUAUAUAAUCCUGGGUAUUUUAUUUCAGGCAUUGAAAAGCAUUACCGUGAGAGGAAGUUCAGAGAUUCCAGAAUGCCAGAGGACACAAAGCAUGGAAGACUCAAAAGCUUAAUCCCUUCUCUAAAAUCAGGACGUGGAUGAACCUGGAAACCAUUGUUUUCAGCAAACUGACACAAGAACAGAAAAUCAAACACCACAUGUUCUCAUUCAUAGGCCUGUGACAGAGGGAAGUCUAGGGCUCUCCAUCGUCCCCCAGCCUGCUCUAUCUUGUUCUUCAUCACAGGAGCCCACAGGGCCUGAUGCUGAGAUCAUCAAUGCCAUGCCGGCUUCUCUCAUUGUUUGUUUAAAAUAAUUAGGGACACAGUUGAAGAAUAAGAUAGUACAGAUGCUUCUCAACUUAUGAUGGGGUUAUGUCUUGAAUGUCCUGAUAAACCCAUCGUAAGUUGAAAAUAUCGUGUCAAAAAUAUUUAUUAAAUAUACAUUUAAUAAACCUAACCUAUUGAUCA